GGCCUGAUUGGAAGGUCUUGCCUUGUGUAAGCACUUUUCAGUUGGGUCUUUCCUUCUGGGGAACCAGCUACCCUUAACUGGGUGGGUUGGGGAUCCAGGACUUUUACUUUGAAAAAAUUAGAGUGUUCAAAGCAGGCAAUCGCUUGAAUACAUUAGCAUGGAAUAAUAAAAUAGGACUUUGGUUCUAUUUUGUUGGCUUCUAGGACCGAAGUA
rnacentral:rRNA from 1 species